GUAGUAUUCCCUCCGUCCCAAAAUUCUUGUCUUACAUUUGUUUAGAUAUGGAUGUAUCUAACACUANUAUGGAUGUAUCUAACACUAAAAUGUAACUAGAUACAUCCGUAUUUAGACAAAUUUAAGACAAGAAUUUUGGGACGGAGGGAGUACAAA
rfam:Triticum aestivum genome assembly, contig: Triticum_aestivum_CS42_TGACv1_scaffold_037398_1BL